rnacentral:rRNA from 1 species
CCUACGGGUGGCAGCAGUAGGGAAUUUUCGGCAAUGGGGGGAACCCUGACCGAGCAACGCCGCGUGAGCGAUGAAGUAUUUCGGUAUGUAAAGCUCUAUCAGCAGGGAAGAAAAUGACGGUACCUGACUAAGAAGCCCCGGCUAACUACGUGCCAGCAGCCGCGGUAAUACGUAGGGGGCAAGCGUUAUCCGGAUUUACUGGGUGUAAAGGGAGCGUAGACGGCGGUGCAAGCCAGAUGUGAAAGCCCGGGGCUCAACCCCGGGACUGCAUUUGGAACUGUGCUGCUAGAGUGUCGGAGAGGCAGGCGGAAUUCCUAGUGUAGCGGUGAAAUGCGUAGAUAUUAGGAGGAACACCAGUGGCGAAGGCGGCCUGCUGGACGAUGACUGACGUUGAGGCUCGAAAGCGUGGGGAGCAAACAGGAUUAGAUACCCCUGUAGUC